UACGAACUGCGCGAACAUUAUUCGGAUUCACUGGGCUUAAAGGGUGCGUAGGCGGCUUUGCAAGUAAGGUGUGAAAGUUUUCGGCUCAACCGGAAAAGUGCAUCUUAGACUGCGAAGCUUGAGUGAGUCAGGGGUGUGUGGAACUGCCAGUGGAGCGGUGAAAUGCGUAGAUAUAGGAAGGAACACCAGUGGCGAAGGCGACACCUGGACUGAUACUGACACUGAGGUGCGAAAGCGUGGGGAGCAAACAGGAUUAGAUACCCC
rnacentral:rRNA from 1 species